CCUACGGGGGGCAGCAGUGAGGAAUAUUGGUCAAUGGGCGAGAGCCUGAACCAGCCAAGUCGCGUGAAGGACGACGGCCCUAUGGGUUGUAAACUUCUUUUACAGGGGAAUAAAGUGCGGCACGUGUUGCUGUUUUGUAUGUACCCUGUGAAUAAGCAUCGGCUAACUCCGUGCCAGCAGCCGCGGUAAUACGGAGGAUGCGAGCGUUAUCCGGAUUUAUUGGGUUUAAAGGGUGCGUAGGCGGGAUAAUAAGUCAGCGGUGAAAGUUUUCGGCUCAACCGGAAAAUUGCCGUUGAAACUGUUGUUCUUGAGUGCAGAAGAGGUAGGCGGAAUUCGUUAUGUAGCGGUGAAAUGCGUAGAUAUAACGAAGAACACCAAUUGCGUAGGCAGCUUACCAUACUGCAACUGACGCUGAGGCACGAAAGUGUGGGUAUCAAACAGGCUUAGAUACCCCAGUAGUC
rnacentral:rRNA from 1 species